rnacentral:rRNA from 1 species
UACGAGGGGGGCGAGCGUUGUUCGGAAUUAUUGGGCGUAAAGGGCGCGCAGGCGGCCCUUGAAGUCAGGCGUGAAAGCCCCGGGCUCAACCUGGGAGGUGCGCUUGAUACUCGAGGGCUUGAGUGCGGGAGAGGAGAGUGGAAUUCCCAGUGUAGAGGUGAAAUGCGUAGAUAUCGGUAGGAACACCAGUGGCGAAGGCGGUCUCCUGGGGCAUUCUUGACGCUGAGGCGCGAAAGCUGGGGGAGCAAACGGG